AGUAAAAGAAUCGAGGAAUACCGUGGGACAUCCGGAAUCGCGAAUGUGUAACUGAUAUUUUUCUGACAGCAAUGAGAAUAUGCGACCAUAAUGAGGUUUUUUCUGAACUUUAUUAUCUAUGAUAGAACG